rnacentral:rRNA from 1 species
UGGCUCAGGACCGGACGCUGGCGGCGUGCUUAACACAUGCAAGUCGAGCGAAGCGGCUGAAUUGAUUCUUCGGAUGAUUUUCAGUUGACUGAGCGGCGGACGGGUGAGUAACGCGUGGGUGACCUGCCCCAUACCGGGGGAUAACAGCUGGAAACGGCUGCUAAUACCGCAUAAGCGCACAGAGCUGCAUGGCUCGGUGUGAAAAACUCCGGUGGUAUGGGAUGGGCCCGCGUCUGAUUAGGCAGUUGGCGGGGUAACGGCCCACCAAACCGACGAUCAGUAGCCGGCCUGAGAGGGCGACCGGCCACAUUGGACUGAGACACGCCC